rnacentral:sRNA from 1 species
UGAACGAGACUGAUAUGCUUGCCGAGGA